UCUGGUUGAUCCUGCCAGUAGUCAUAUGCUUGUCUCAAAGAUUAAGCCAUGCAUGUCUAAGUAUAAGCAAUUUAUACAGUGAAACUGCGAAUGGCUCAUUAAAUCAGUUAUCGUUUAUUUGAUAGUUCCUUUACUACAUGGUAUAACUGUGGUAAUUCUAGAGCUAAUACAUGCUUAAAAUCUCGACCCUUUGGAAGAGAUGUAUUUAUUAGAUAAAAAAUCAAUGUCUUCGGACUCUUUGAUGGUUCAUAAUAACUUUUCGAAUCGCAUGGCCUUGUGCUGGCGAUGGUUCAUUCAAAUUUCUGCCCUAUCAACUUUCGAUGGUAGGAUAGUGGCCUACCAUGGUUUCAACGGGUAACGGGGAAUAAGGGUUCGAUUCCGGAGAGGGAGCCUGAGAAACGGCUACCACAUCCAAGGAAGGCAGCAGGCGCGCAAAUUACCCAAUCCUAAUUCAGGGAGGUAGUGACAAUAAAUAACGAUACAGGGCCCAUUCGGGUCUUGUAAUUGGAAUGAGUACAAUGUAAAUACCUUAACGAGGAACAAUUGGAGGGCAAGUCUGGUA
rnacentral:rRNA from 1 species